rnacentral:rRNA from 1 species
AUUGAACGCUGGCGGCAGGCCUAACACAUGCAAGUCGAGCGGAUGAAGGGAGCUUGCUCCUGGAUUCAGCGGCGGACGGGUGAGUAAUGCCUAGGAAUCUGCCUGGUAGUGGGGGAUAACGUCCGGAAACGGGCGCUAAUACCGCAUACGUCCUGAGGGAGAAAGUGGGGGAUCUUCGGACCUCACGCUAUCAGAUGAGCCUAGGUCGGAUUAGCUAGUUGGUGGGGUAAAGGCCUACCAAGGCGACGAUCCGUAACUGGUCUGAGAGGAUGAUCAGUCAACAUGGGAAAGGAGACAGGGCCAGACCUCCAGGGGGGGGAGGAGGGGGGGAAAAUUGAAAAAGGGGCAAAAGCGGGAACAAGCAUGGCCGCGUGGGGAAAGAAGGUAUUGGAAUUGAAAAGCAUUUAAGGUGGGGAGGAAGGGAAGAAAGUAAAUACUUUGCUGUUUUAACGUUCCAAAAAGAAAAAAACCGGGCAACUUUCGUC